AUUGAACGCUGGCGGCAGGCCUAACACAUGCAAGUCGAACGAGUGGCGGACGGGUGAGUAAUGUCUGGGAAACUGCCUGAUGGAGGGGGAUAACUACUGGAAACGGUAGCUAAUACCGCAUACCCUCAGAUGUGCCCAAAUGGGAUUAGCUUGUUGGUGGGGUAACGGCUCACCAAGGCGACGAUCCCUAGCUGGUCUGAGAGGAUGACCAGCAACACUGGAACUGCGACACGCUGCAGAUCCCUACGGGAGGCAGCAGUGGGGAAUAUUGCACCAUGGGCGAAAGCCUGAUGCCGCCAUGCCGCGUGUAUGAAGAAGGCCUGCGGGUUGUAAAGUACUUUCAGCGGGGAGGCGUUACCCGCAGAAGAAGCACCGGCUAACUCCGUGCCAGCAGCCGCGGUAAUUC
rnacentral:rRNA from 1 species